rnacentral:SRP_RNA from 1 species
CCGGGGAAUCUGCAGAGCGUACACUCUGAACCAGGUCAGGGCCGGAAGGCAGCAGCCUUAAGGAAUCUGGCGCCGCUGUAGGCCAUUCUCCGGUGU